rnacentral:tRNA from 1 species
UGGGGUGUGGCUCAGUGGUUGAGCACUUGCCUAACAUGUGUGAGGCACUGAGUUCGAUCCCCAACACCACAU